rnacentral:rRNA from 1 species
CAGAGUGAACGCUAGCGGCGUGGUUAGACAUGCAAGUCGAACGAUGAGCCCAGCUUGCUGGGCGGAUUAGUGGCAUACGGGUGCGUAACACGUGAGCAACCUGCCUUGAAGUGGGGAAUAGCCCGGGGAAACCCGGAUUAAUACCGCAUGUGGUCUCUUUUCGCAUGAAAAGACGACUAAAGUUUGUAAUGACUCUUCAAGAGGGGCUCGCGGCCUAUCAGCUUGUUGGUGAGGUAAAGGCUCACCAAGGCAAAGACGGGUAGCUGGUCUGAGAGGAUGAUCAGCCACACUGGAACUGAGAUACGGUCCAGACACCUACGGGUGGCAGCAGUUUCGAAUCAUUCACAAUGGGGGAAACCCUGAUGGUGCAACGCCGCGUGGAGGAUGACGGCCUUCGGGUUGUAAACUCCUGUCACCAAGGAACAAACGGCAGGUUCAUAGCCUGUCCUGAGUUAACUUGGAGAGGAAGAGGUGGCUAACUCCGUGCCAGCAGCCGCGGUAAUACGGAGACCUCGAGCGUUACUCGGAUUCACUGGGCGUAAAGAGUAUGUAGGCGGUUUGGUAUGUCAGGUGUGAAAGCCCGAAGCUCAACUUCGGAAUUGCGCCUGAAACUACCGGACUUGAGGCCUGGAGAGGGGAGUGGAAUUCCUGGUGUAGCGGUGAAAUGCGUAGAUAUCAGGAGGAACACCAAUGGCGAAGGCAGCUCCCUGGACAGGUUCUGACGCUGAGAUACGAAAGCGUGGGUAGCGAAAGGGAUUAGAUACCCCUGUAGUCCACGCCGUAAACGUUGUACACUAGGUUUCGGAGGUGCUACCCCUUCGGAGCUCAAGCUAACGCGAUAAGUGUACCGNCUGAGGACUACGGNCGGAAGGUUAAAACUCAGAGGAAUUGACGGGGGCCCGCACAAGCGGU